AGUGAACGCUGGCGGUAGGCCUAACACAUGCAAGUCGAACGGCAGCACAGUAAGAGCUUGCUCUUAUGGGUGGCGAGUGGCGGACGGGUGAGGAAUACAUCGGAAUCUACCUUUUCGUGGGGGAUAACGUAGGGAAACUUACGCUAAUACCGCAUACGACCUUCGGGUGAAAGCAGGGGACCUUCGGGCCGUUGCGCGGG
rnacentral:rRNA from 1 species